CAGUAGCCACGGGAAUACGGAGGGUGCAAGCGUUAUCCGGAUUUAUUGGGUUUAAAGGGUCCGUAGGCGGAUCUGUAAGUCAGUGGUGAAAUCUCACAGCUUAACUGUGAAACUGCCAUUGAUACUGCAGGUCUUGAGUAAAUUUGAAGUGGCUGGAAUAAGUAGUGUAGCGGUGAAAUGCAUAGAUAUUACUUAGAACACCAAUUGCGAAGGCAGGUCACUAAGAUUUAACUGACGCUGAUGGACGAAAGCGUGGGGAGCGAACAGGAUUAGAGACCCCAGUAGUCCCUGUCUCUUAUAC
rnacentral:rRNA from 1 species